GAUGAACGCUGGCGGCGUGCCUAAUAUAUGCAAGUCGAGCGAACGGACGAGAAGCUUGCUUCUCUGAUGUUAGCGGCGGACGGGUGAGUAACACGUGGAUAACCUCCCUAUAAGACUGGGAUAACUUCGGGAAACCGGAGCUAAUACCGGAUAAUAUUUUGAACCGCAUGGUUCAAAAGUGAAAGACGGUCUUGCUGUCACUUAUAGAUGGAUCCGCGCUGCAUUAGCUAGUUGGUAAGGUAACGGCUUACCAAGGCAACGAUGCAUAGCCGACCUGAGAGGGUGAUCGGCCACACUGGAACUGAGACACGGUCCAGACUCCUACGGGAGGCAGCAGUAGGGAGUCUUCCGCGAUGGGCGAAAGCCUGACGGAGCAACGCCGCGUGGGUGAUGAAGGUCUUCGGAUCGUAAAACUCUGUUAUUAGGGAAGAACAUAUGUGUAAGUAACUGUGCACAUCUUGACGGUACCUAAUCAGAAAGCCACGGCUAACUACGUG
rnacentral:rRNA from 1 species